UACGGAGGGUGCGAGCGUUGUCCGGAAUCAUUGGGCGUAAAGGGCGCGUAGGUGGCCCGGUCAGUUCGUGGUGAAAGCGCGGGGCUCAACCCUGCGUCGGCCAUGAAUACUGCCGCGGCUGGAGCACUGUAGAGGCAGGCGGAAUUCCGGGUGUAGCGGUGGAAUGCGUAGAGAUCCGGAAGAACACCGGUGGCGAAGGCGGCGACCUGGGACAAUACUGACGCUGAGGUGCGAAAGCGUGGGGAGCAAACGGG
rnacentral:rRNA from 1 species